UACGAAGGGGGCUAGCGUUGUUCGGAUUUACUGGGCGUAAAGCGCACGUAGGCGGAUCGUUAAGUCAGGGGUGAAAUCCUGGAGCUCAACUCCAGAACUGCCUUGAUACUGGCGAUCUUGAGUCCGGAAGAGGUGGAGUGGGAACUCCUAGUGUAGAGGUGGAAUUCGUAGAUAUUAGGAAGAACACCAGUGGCGAAGGCGGCUCACUGGUCCGGUAC
rnacentral:rRNA from 1 species